UUAGUAAAAUCUUGAUCAGGAUAAUCUAUGUGAUGAAUUUGAAAGAUUGAAUAUAAUGUGGAUGAUCCUUCAAGGUUGACAGUCUAAUCCUGGAUCAUCCUAGAGCAUUCAGGAUCAAAGAGAUAAAUUAUGUGAUAAUCAUAUGCAUAGAUUUUUUAAUAUUAUCUUAUAAAUAUUUGACCUAUCUGGACAUCGAAAAUCAUUGCUAGAUGGUAACUUUGAUUAGUACAAAAAAAUAGUUCCUAUGC
rnacentral:lncRNA from 1 species